rnacentral:tRNA from 1 species
UCCUGGUGGCUCAGAUGGUAAAGCAUCUGCCUGCAAUGCGGGAGACCUGGGUUCGAUUCCUGGGUCGGGAA